rnacentral:lncRNA from 1 species
AUUCCAGUUGCAGACUCUUAUCCCAUAGCAUUUGACAAAUCAAAUUGGAAAGGGACCGAGUCUCUUCUUUACUUUUACCUCUUUUAUUUUUAUAUUUAUAGAUCAGCCAGCUGAGCAAAGAAACAAAGAAAUCACAAGGAAGGUGACUUGCUUGGGAUUCCUACUUCAUGGUGAGAUGCCCGCCCUUGCCCAAACCAUAGGAUGCUCUUGACAUAGCCACAGCCUCUGACAUGUGGAAGAAAAUGAGACUGAAGAAGAAAAGCUCUCUGUGAGUUGGGUCCCAACUGCUGGCUCUGCUGCCGGAGCUUAAAACACUGUGUGCACGAAAUGCUGACUGAUUGUUGGGAGCAGGGAAGGAAAUGACAAAUCAGAAGCCUUCUUCACUUCAAACUUUUGUUUCAGGACCAACCUGUUCUUGACGUAUUCUGCAUAAUGGCCAAAUUAUUCCAGAUUAUCUUCAGAUUUCUUUUUCUCCACUGUGUGUUCAUUCACAAAUAAAAUCCAUUUCACAAUGUCA